rnacentral:rRNA from 1 species
AUGCACUGGCAAUCGUGGGAGAAGAUGGCUAUCUCAAAAUCCAAGGGAGGUUUGGGAUUUCGGGACUUGGAGCUGUUCAAUGAUGCAAUGCUCGCCAAACAGGCGUGGCGACUGUUGGAUAAGCCAGACAGUCUACGCGCACGUGUUCUUAAGGGUCGGUACUACCCAGAUGGAGAUGUUUUACAGGCAGGAUGCCCUGCUAGCGCCUCCAUUACAUGGAAAGGCAUCACUACUAGGGAAAAGCCUAGCAGCAACGCGGGUUUUAGGUACAUUAGUAGCGCGGGGACCGGCGCUACUAAUAAGGCCCUAUAG